rnacentral:rRNA from 1 species
GAUGAACGCUGGCGGCGUGCCUAAUACAUGCAAGUCGAGCGAACAGACGAGGAGCUUGCUCCUCUGACGUUAGCGGCGGACGGGUGAGUAACACGUGGAUAACCUACCUCUAAGACUGGGAUAACUUCGGGAAACCGGAGCUAAUACCGGAUAAUAUAUUGAACCGCAUGGUUCAAUAGUGAAAGACGGUUUUGCUGUCACUUAUAGAUGGAUCCGCGCCGCAUUAGCUAGUUGGUAAGGUAACGGCUUACCAAGGCAACGAUGCGUAGCCGACCUGAGAGGGUGAUCGCCCACCCUGGAACUGAGACUCGGUCCAGACCCCUGCGGGAGGCAGCAGUAGGGAAUCUUCCGCAAUGGGCGAAAGCCUGACGGAGCACCGCCGCGUGAGUGAUGAAGGUCUUCUGAUCGUAAAACUCUGUUAUUAGGGAAGAACAAAUGUGUAAGUAACUAUGCACGUCUUGACGGUACCUAAUCAGAAAGCCACGGCUAACUACGUG